rnacentral:misc_RNA from 1 species
AAGUCGUAACAAGGUCUCCGUAGGUGAACCUGCGGAGGGAUCAUUGCUGUUGGAGAAUAAAAACGGAUUUAUUCGUUUUUUAUUUAUCAUUCGCGCUUGUACAGUUUGACAGAGUAGGUGUACUAUAUUGAGUGACAACUUUUAACAAUGGAUCUCUUGGCUCUU